CAAGGUAAAGCUUAAUUAGUCAAGCGUCUCACUUACACUGAGAGGAAGUCGUGCAAUUCGAUGUACUUUGA
rnacentral:tRNA from 1 species